GAUGUGCUACCUUGUUUCACCUUUUAAAAACAACAAGCAAAUAAUUAUACUCUGCUUUAUAAUGUGGUGGAAUGUAUACAAAUACUUUCUUCCAUAAUUUUUGAGAGCAGUAACUGUGUCUCACCAAUCUUCAUAUUCUCCACUGCACUGACCAUAGCAUUUUGAAUAUAAUUUGGAAUCAAUUAAAUACAUGAACAAACAAGUAAAAUUUUAUGGUGCAGGGAAAGUAUUAUUAUUAUUUUUUAAAAGGGCUCUGAGAUAUAAUCUACUUUUCUGGGAUAGUACCAAAUAAAAAUGAAAUCAAGAAUUUAAAGCAUUCUGAAAAUACUGAGAAAGACCAUUAAAAAAAAGAAGGCUAAGAGUUUGUUUAAAAAUAUGAGAAAUAAAAAAAAGAUCCAUAUAACUGACUAUAGCAAAAGCAUGUGUUUUCUGAAGUAAGUAAGGCAGAAAGUAAAAUAGACAUCCUUUUAAUACCUCUCAUAUCUAUGCAGAGAUGGCCAAGGUCUGGUAGUGAUUUUCAUGAUGAUGGGUCUGGGAAGCUUAUUAUUUUGUAACCAGUUUUAUUACCUGCCCCCAGCAAAAGGCAUUUGUUUACCUUCUUUCCUCUUUUAUUCACUUUAGACGUGAAGAGAAGUAUCACUGCUUCAGUAUUAGGCUAUUUCAAUAAGCAAGGCAAUUUUAUUACAGAUAUCAGAUGCAACACAUAUUUGGUAAAUCUUAAUAACCAUAUUCUUACACCUACACAAUAAAUUACUGGUAAAAACUGCUUUCGCUGUGACAUUUUCACUAUUUGCAUUAACAUGAACUCUUACAUAGGCAUAUAUUCCAAUUUUGAAAAGAAAAGCUUUCACAAACAUUAUGACAUUUGAUUGAAUUGAGUAACUUAAAAAACAUGCCUUAUUAAAAUAUCUUAUAAAGUUGGAUUUAUCUUCAAAAGCAAUAUAAAACAAGUCUAUAAUUACAUCUAGCACUUUUUCCUCAAGAUGACAUAAAUUAUUUCUUAUAACCAUGUUUCAGAACUUUUCAUUGCCCCUCUCUUUCUGUCUCUGUCCUAUACAAUCAAUGACUUAAAUCUUCAAACUUCAACUUAGACUUUAAUUAUCUGAUUCUCAUGGUUCCUCAGUACACUAUUCAAAUUCUUUGAACAGAUGAAGAAAGUAUUUCAUAGUCAAACUUGAGUAGAUUGUUAUAAAACAAUAUUUAAAAGUCACUCAAUAAUUCCUAUUCUUAAAGUUAUUUGUAUUUUGGAAGAAGAUGUCCUAAGUGCCUAUAAAGCAAAAGUAUAAAUGGAAAUAAAGUAAAUAACAGAAAUCACCCAAAUUUUAAGCAUUAUGGAAACUAACUGGGUAGACAUCCCCAUGAGAGUUUCUCAAUAGACCAUGCUGCCUGGGGCAUGUCAUACUAUGCUCCAUUUAACUAUCUGAUUUGACCUCUAGCUCAGAUGUUUUAAUUUUGUUGCUGGAUGUUUUACCCUUUCUUUAAGUGCUUAAGUGAGUAAAAAUAAUUGAAAAUCAGAUAUAAUAUUAUAAAAUAAUAUUAUACAGCUUUUACAUAAACUGUCUUAAUAACUUUAUGUACAAUAAGUCAUUUAAUCCAGUUGUUUUCAACUAGAAGUGAUGUUACCUCCCAGGGGACAUUUGCAAUGGAAACAUUUUUUGUUUGUCAAUAUUGGAGUUGGCUACUGAUAAAAUGGGUAGAAACCAGGAUUGCUACUAAGCAUCCUGCAAUGCAUAGAAAGGACUAACUCUUGCAAAAAAAAAAAAAAAA
rnacentral:lncRNA from 10 species